rnacentral:rRNA from 1 species
AGACCCGAAACCCGGUGAUCUAGCCAUGGGCAGGUUGAAGGUUGGGUAACACUAACUGGAGGACCGAACCGACUAAUGUUGAAAAAUUAGCGGAUGACCUGUGGCUGGGGGUGAAAGGCCAAUCAAACCGGGAGAUAGCUGGUUCUCCCCGAAAGCUAUUUAGGUAGCGCCUCGUGAAUUCAUCUCCGGGGGUAGAGCACUGUUUCGGCUAGGGGGCCAUCCCGGCUUACCAACCCGAUGCAAACUGCGAAUACCGGAGAAUGUUAUCACGGGAGACACACGGCGGGUGCUAACGUCCGUCGUGAAGAGGGAAACAACCCAGACCGCCAGCUAAGGUCCCAAAGUCAUGGUUAAGUGGGAAACGAUGUGGGAAGGCCCAGACAGCCAGGAUGUUGGCUUAGAAGCAGCCAUCAUUUAAAGAAAGCGUAAUAGCUCACUGGUCGAGUCGGCCUGCGCGGAAGAUGUAACGGGGCUAAACCAUGCACCGAAGCUGCGGCAGCGACGCUGAUGCGUUGUUGGGUAGGGGAGCGUUCUGUAAGCCUGUGAAGGUGGCCUGUGAGGGUUGCUGGAGGUAUCAGAAGUGCGAAUGCUGACAUAAGUAACGAUAAAGCGGGUGAAAAGCCCGCUCGCCGGAAGACCAAGGGUUCCUGUCCAACGUUAAUCGGGGCAGGGUGAGUCGACCCCUAAGGCGAGGCCGAAAGGCGUAGUCGAUGGGAAACGGGUUAAUAUUCCCGUACUUGGUGUUACUGCGAAGGGGGGACGGAGAAGGCUAUGUUGGCCGGGCGACGGUUGUCCCGGUUUAAGCGUGUAGGUGUGUGUUCCAGGUAAAUCCGGUUCACUUUAACACUGAGGCGUGACGACGAGGCACUACGGUGCUGAAGCAACAAAUGCCCUGCUUCCAGGAAAAGCCUCUAAGCAUCAGGUAACAUCAAAUCGUACCCCAAACCGACACAGGUGGUCAGGUAGAGAAUACCAAGGCGCUUGAGAGAACUCGGGUGAAGGAACUAGGCAAAAUGGUGCCGUAACUUCGGGAGAAGGCACGCUGACACGUAGGUGAAGUGAUUUACUCAUGGAGCUGAAGUCAGUCGAAGAUACCAGCUGGCUGCAACUGUUUAUUAAAAACACAGCACUGUGCAAACACGAAAGUGGACGUAUACGGUGUGACGCCUGCCCGGUGCCGGAAGGUUAAUUGAUGGGGUCAGCGCAAGCGAAGCUCCUGAUCGAAGCCCCGGUAAACGGCGGCCGUAACUAUAACGGUCCUAAGGUAGCGAAAUUCCUUGUCGGGUAAGUUCCGACCUGCACGAAUGGCGUAAUGAUGGCCAGGCUGUCUCCACCCGAGACUCAGUGAAAUUGAACUCGCUGUGAAGAUGCAGUGUACCCGCGGCAAGACGGAAAGACCCCGUGAACCUUUACUAUAGCUUGACACUGAACAUUGAGCCUUGAUGUGUAGGAUAGGUGGGAGGCUUUGAAGUGUGGACGCCAGUCUGCAUGGAGCCGACCUUGAAAUACCACCCUUUAAUGUUUGAUGUUCUAACGUGGACCCGUUACCCGGGUUGCGGACAGUGUCUGGUGGGUAGUUUGACUGGGGCGGUCUCCUCCUAAAGAGUAACGGAGGAGCACGAAGGUUGGCUAAUCCUGGUCGGACAUCAGGAGGUUAGUGCAAUGGCAUAAGCCAGCUUGACUGCGAGCGUGACGGCGCGAGCAGGUGCGAAAGCAGGUCAUAGUGAUCCGGUGGUUCUGAAUGGAAGGGCCAUCGCUCAACGGAUAAAAGGUACUCCGGGGAUAACAGGCUGAUACCGCCCAAGAGUUCAUAUCGACGGCGGUGUUUGGCACCUCGAUGUCGGCUCAUCACAUCCUGGGGCUGAAGUAGGUCCCAAGGGUAUGGCUGUUCGCCAUUUAAAGUGGUACGCGAGCUGGGUUUAGAACGUCGUGAGACAGUUCGGUCCCUAUCUGCCGUGGGCGCUGGAGAACUGAGGGGGGCUGCUCCUAGUACGAGAGGACCGGAGUGGACGCAUCACUGGUGUUCGGGUUGUCAUGCCAAUGGCACUGCCCGGUAGCUAAAUGCGGAAGAGAUAAGUGCUGAAAGCAUCUAAGCACGAAACUUGCCCCGAGAUGAGUUCUCCCUGAGACUUAGAGUCUCCUGAAGGAACGUUGAAGACGACGACGUUGAUAGGCCGGGUGUGUAAGCGCAGCGAUGCGUUGAGCUAACCGGUACUAAUGAACCGUGAGGCUUAACCUUACAACGCCGAAG